AAGGAAGGUGAUCCGGUUUACUCUAGAGAGAGAGAGUAUCUUUUUUUUACCGGAAUACCCCUGUACUUUCGGAAAAAGUGUGUGCCAUAAUUUGCUGUUUGAGAUCCUCUGUGUUCAUAUUAUCAGUUUUGGAGCACCCUCUGUGGAAAAAAAAACAGAAAAAAAAACAAAAGAGGUGCGCGCCCUCUCCACCUUUGCCUCUGUUCUUUCGAUUUCCCUUGUUACCAGCAACUCUUGUUACGUGUUUGGCACUAUCUUUCAA
rnacentral:lncRNA from 1 species